UUCUCUUCUCUCUUCUUUUCUCCCUUUUUCUGCGGGUUUUCCGUUUCUUUCUGCUGGAGUCUCAGUCGUCUUCUGCCCCGACCGGGCAGAGGCGGUUUUUCUUCCCCCAACCCGGAGAGUAGGUUCUCCCUCCUCAUCUCCGGGUGGGGUUAUAUUUAAAUAAGUUUUUAUUUUGGUUGGAGAUUUGUAGACCGUUGAGUGAGGGUUUUUUUGAUCUGUAUAUCCUUGAUUUGUUUGGUGUUUAUUGUGGGUUAUUUUUUUACCUGCAGGUCAACUUGUCGGAGACGAUCGUUGAUAUUUUGCAUGCAAAAUCUGUGACCUGAGUUUGAGUAGAGGUAGGAGGUACACAAAUAUAGUCGGAGCUCUCUUCACGUUAGUCUGGACAUCUGGGUCUCGAUAGCCUUCUAGGCAUGGCGAUCUGAAUGCCCGCCAACUUUCAUGUCUGGUACCCUUGCUAUCCUGUUGGGAAUGGGUUUCUCUGGUUUCUCCUUAAACCAGUGCUCUCUUCUGCCUCCUUAAAGCAAAUGCUCCACUUGGGUCUCUGAAGCCAUUGCUGGUCUCUUCCUCAGCUGAGUUGCUUGAUGAGGUUUCUGUGUCUUGUUGAAAGCACUAGCUUCUAUUGUCAUCCUCUUCCUCGGUGGUCUAAUUCUUGCAACGCCUGAGAUGAUCAACACUGGCUGGAUAGGAGGCGGCAGUGCUUCCUUAGCUACCAGCUCUAGGUUGUCUAAAUCUGGACUUUGUAACUUGAUGUAUUUGAGGUUUUCACCUCUUCUUUAAUGAACCUUAUCUUUGAUAAAAAAAAAAAAAAAAUUAUCAAAACAGAAAUGAAGCAAAGUAAUGAUAUAGAAAUAUAAAUUAAACUUAUUGGAUAUCAAAAGGAUAUGAAUGAGUUGGAUAUGAUGCUUUAAGCUUUUCUGUACAUAUGCAAAAGCUCCAUCAUCAACCAAAUUUGCUUCUAAAGUCAAAAGGUG
rnacentral:lncRNA from 1 species